UACAGAGGGUGCGAGCGUUAAUCGGAAUUACUGGGCGUAAAGCGUGCGUAGACGGUUAUUUAAGUCGGGUGUGAAAGCCCCGGGGCUCAACCUGGGAAUUGCAUUCGAGACUGAAUAGCUAGGGUACGGUAGAGGGAAGUGGAAUUUCCGGUGGUAGCGGUGAAAUGCGUAGAUAUCGGAAAGGAACAUCAGUGGCGAAAGCGACUUC
rnacentral:rRNA from 1 species